rnacentral:pre_miRNA from 1 species
CGUCCGUGUGAUGUGCAACAUUGUUUUUUAAAAUUCAAAUUGCACAUCUCCCGGCCGGC